ensembl:lncRNA
CUUCAGGGUGACAGGUUAGUACAGUGGUGAACCUAUAGGUCUUCAGUGUAACAGGUUGGUACAGUGGUGAACCUAUAGGUCUUCAGUUUGUGACAGGUUAGUACAGUGGUGAACCUAUAGGUCUUCAGUUUGUGACAGGUUGGUACAGUGGUGAACCUAUAGGUCUUCAGUGUGUGACAGGUUAGUACAGUGGUGAACCUAUAGGUCUUCAGUGUGUGACAGGUUAGUACAGUGGUGAACCUAUAGGUCUUCAGUGUAACAGGUUAGUACAGUGGUGAACCUAUAGGUCUUCAGUGUGUGACAGGUUAGUACAGUGGUGAACCUAUAGGUCUUCAGUGUAACAGGUUAGUACAGUG